rnacentral:rRNA from 1 species
CGUGUAGGCGGCCGAUUAAGUCCGGAGUGAAAGUCCUGCUUUCAAGGUGGGAAUUGCUUUGGAAACUGGUUGGCUUGAGUGCGGAAGAGGUAAGUGGAAUUCCCAGUGUAGCGGUGAAAUGCGUAGAGAUUGGGAGGAACACCAGUGGCGAAGGCGACUUACUGGGCCGUAACUGACGCUGAGGCGCGAAAGCGUGGGGAGCGAACAG